CCUACGGGUGGCAGCAGUGAGGAAUAUUGGUCAAUGGGCGCGAGCCUGAACCAGCCAAGUCGCGUGAAGGAAGACGGUCCCAUGGAUUGUAAACCUCUUUUGUCAGGGAACAAAAUACGCCACGCGUGGCGGUCCGAGAGUACCCGAAGAAAAAGCAUCGGCUAACUCCGUGCCAGCAGCCGCGGUAAUACGGAGGAUGCGAGCGUUAUCCGGAUUUAUUGGGUUUAAAGGGUGCGUAGGCGGACUGUUAAGUCAGCGGUAAAAGCCCGGGGCUCAACCCCGGUCCGCCGUUGAAACUGGCAGUCUUGAGUUGGCGAGAGGUAUGCGGAAUGCGCAGUGUAGCGGUGAAAUGCAUAGAUAUCGCGCAGAACUCCGAUUGCGAAGGCAGCAUGCCGGCUCCACUCUGACGCUGAGGCACGAAAGCGUGGGUAUCGAACAGGAUUAGAUACCCCAGUAGUC
rnacentral:rRNA from 1 species